AUUGAACGCUGGCGGCAGGCUUAACACAUGCAAGUCGAGCGAGCGGCGGACGGGUGCGUAAUGUCUGGGAAACUGCCUGAUGUAGGGGGAUAACUACUGGAAACGGUAGCUAAUACCGCAUACCAUCAGAUGUGCCCAGUUGGGAUUAGCUAGUAGGUGUGGUAAUGGCUCACCUAGGCGACGCUCCCUAGCUGGUCUGAGAGGGUGACCGGCCACCCUGGAACUGAGACACGGUCCAUAAUCCUACGGGAGGCAGCAGUGGGGAAGAUUGCACAAUGGGCGCAAGCCUGAUGCAGCCAUGCCGCGUGUGUGAAGAAGGCUUUCGGGUUGUAAAGCACUUUAAGUUGGGAGGCGUUACCAACAGAGUAAGCACCGGCUAACUUCGUGCCAGCAGCCGCGGUAAUAC
rnacentral:rRNA from 1 species